GAUGAACGCUGGCGGUAUGCUUAACACAUGCAAGUCGAACGGUCUCUACGGAGAUAGUGGCGGACGGGUGAGUAACGCGUGAGAAUCUGGCUCUAGGUCUGGGACAACCACUGGAAACGGUGGCUAAUACCGGGUGUGCCGAAAGGUGAAAGGUUAACUGCCUGGAGAUGAGCUCGCGUCUGAUUAGCUAGUUGGUAGGGUAAGAGCUUACCAAGGCGACGAUCAGUAGCUGGUCUGAGAGGACGAUCAGCCACACUGGGACUGAGACAC
rnacentral:rRNA from 2 species